rnacentral:misc_RNA from 1 species
CCGAGUAUUGUUCUUUUUGGACAAACUCCCACCCUUUGUCAAACUUACUUGUUGCUUCGGCGGACCACUGAAAAGUUGUCGACUCAAUAGUGGACAAGUGUCCGCCGAAGAUUUUACUCUGGUUUUUAAAGUCAGAUUUUUUAUUAAACAAAUAA